UCUUUCGUUUUUACAGCAUCUGCGGUGCGACUCUUGAACUUGCUGUAAAGUAAAACUGCUUCCCGGGCGUGUAGGAGCUGGAGAAUGAAUGGAUUUGUCCUGUGUGCUUCUGUAUAUUUGCCUAGUAGCCGACUGACUUCUGAAGGCGGUUUUCACAGCGGUUUGGCUUUACGUGCCUUUACAUAGCCUUACAUACGUAUAAAUUGUUCCUCUGGCCAUUGCACCUCCUGUUGAUUCAUUGAACAAUUUGUGGGAUGCCUUACUGUAUGUCAGUCACUUCCCUGUAUGAGGAAGAAAAAGAUGAAGCCUAUUCUUGUUCCUGGAAACAUUCGCAGCCCCAUAGAGGAAACAGAAUUGCCAUACAGUAUGACGAAUGCUAAGAAUAACACAAGGGCAUCGAAACCAACUCUAGAGUGAUAUGGGUAGUGGAGCAAUGAGUGAUCCAACCAAGAUUUAUGUAGAAGGAUGCUAAUUGCAACAAUAAGUGUUACAUUUAAAAGAGAAAAACUGGAAACAACUCUAGGAUCCAACAAUGGAGAAAAUGGUUAAAUAAUGCAUUAUUCCAGUUGGAGAUAUAAAGCAGAGAACCAUCAUUCUCAAAACUGUUCUGAGAGUCAGCAUGUCACCUCUUUCACUCCUCAAGCCUUCAGAAUUCCAAUGCUAAACAUUUCUCUGGCAUCUAAGGAACAAAACGUUCAGGAUAGAAAGGCUGUGAUACUACCCUGCUAGUAUCAAUCCACAUGCACCAGGUCCUGCUGAAGUGUUAAAUAGGUUGAUACAGGGAUGGAAUAAAACAAUAAAGUGUCUGAGAGAA